GACGAACGCUGGCGGCGUGCUUAACACAUGCAAGUCGAACGGUGAAGCGCUUUCCUUUUUGGUGGGUGUGGAUGAGUGGCGAACGGGUGAGUAACACGUGAGUAACCUGCCCCCUUCUUCUGGAUAACCGCAUGAAAGUGUGGCUAAUACGGGAUAUUCUGGGUCUGUCGCAUGAUGGGUCUGGGAAAGAUAUUGUUUCGGUGGGGGAUGGGCUCGCGGCCUAUCAGCUUGUUGGUGGGGUGAUGGCCUACCAAGGCGGUGACGGGUAGCCGGCCUGAGAGGGUGGACGGUCACACUGGGACUGAGACACGGCCCAGACUCCUACGGGAGGCAGCAGUGGGGAAUAUUGCACAAUGGGCGCAAGCCUGAUGCAGCGACGCCGCGUGAGGGAUGGAGGCCUUCGGGUUGUGAACCUCUUUCGCCAGUGAAGCAGGCCUGCCUCGUUUGUGGGUGGGUUGACGGUAGCUGGAUAAGAAGCGCCGGCUAACUACGUG
rnacentral:rRNA from 1 species